UUUCCUGAUCAACGCUAAUCGGAUCAGGGUUAGUCGGGUCCUAAGGGUAAGCCGAACGGCGAUCUCGAUGGAUAAUCGGUUAAUAUUCCGAUACUAACAUAUACCUCGAUGGAGAGACGAAGGAACGUAAGUGCCGCCACCUGACGGAAUAGGUGGUUAAAGGGCGUAGGUAUAGGGGCAGAUUAAGAGUUAGUCCUUGCUGAAACCUGACAGUACAGAGAGCCUACGGGCAAUUUGAUAGAGCACCCAAGUCGACUUCCGAGAAAAUCUUCUAAGUUAUAGUAUAUGUUACCCGUACCGUAAACCGACACAGGUGGUCGAGGAGAGUAUCCUAAGGUGCUCGAGUGAAUCACGGUUAAGGAACUAGGCAAAUUAACCCCGUAACUUCGGGAAAAGGGGUCCCUAUGAAAGUAGGGCGCAGCGAAGAGGUCCAGGCGACUGUUUAUCAAAAACACAGGGCUCUGCAAAUUCGAAAGAAGACGUAUAGGGCCUGACACCUGCCCGGUGCUGGAAGGUUAAGAGGGGAUGUCAUCGCAAGAGAAGCAUUGAAUCGAAGCCCCAGUAAACGGCGGCCGUAACUAUAACGGUCCUAAGGUAGCGAAAUUCCUUGUCGGGUAAGUUCCGACCUGCACGAAUGGUGUAACGAUCUGGACACUGUCUCAACCGUGAGCUCGGUGAAAUUGUAGUCCCGGUGAUGAUGCCGGGUACCCGCAACGGGACGAAAAGACCCCGUGAACCUUUACUAUAGCUUAACGCUGAAUUUGGGUACACAAUGUGUAGGAUAGGCAGGAGACUACGAAGCGGGCACGCCAGUGUUCGUGGAGUCGACGUUGAAAUACUGCCCUUUGUGUACUUGAGUUCUAACCCUCGAGAGGGGACACCGUUUGGUGGGUAGUUUGACUGGGGUGGUCGCCUCCAAAAGAGUAACGGAGGCUUCCCAAGGUACCCUCAGCACGAAUGGUAACCGUGCGUAGAGUGCAAUAGCAUAAGGGUGCUUGACUGUGAGACCAACAAGUCGAUCAGGUGCGAAAGCAGGGUAUAGUGAUCCGGUGGUUCUGCGUGGACUGGCCAUCGCUCAAAGGAUAAAAGGUACUCCGGGGAUAACAGGCUGAUC
rnacentral:rRNA from 1 species